rnacentral:misc_RNA from 1 species
AGUGUGCUGGCAGUUGUUGAUUCACUGCAAGAAAAUAUUAUUUGAGUUGAUAACAAACCAUUGAUAUUGAGUAAAAACAGAGACACAAGCAAUAUCAUUUGAAAGAAGAAAAAGAAUUGCUAACAAAGCUAGAUGGCUCAAUGAACAACAGUGAAAAGACUUGGAGGUUACAUUACAAACCAAUAGAAAAAUCUCCAAGAAAAAAAAAAAACUACAUCAUUCUGGCAACAUUUUCUUAUUGACAUAAUACCAAUCAGCUAAAACAUUUACCUCACAGAAUAAACUAUUAAAAAAACCAUUAUAUUUUAUAACAAAAAUGUUCGAUGCCCACACAAAACUAUAGUUCAUGCAGUAUUGUUAAAGGCGACCAAGGCGCAUGGCGAGGUGAGCCCCUGGUGCCUCGCCUGGCUGAGGUAAGUCCAUUUGAAAGAGGGAGCGCUCAAGACUGAUAAGGCGAGAGGAGUGGGGCAACCAAGGUGAUGCCUGAGCUAAAUAAUCUACACUUUCCCUUUUUUUAUAUAUUUUCUAAACAGCAUAAAAAAAUCAUUAAAAAAAAAAAAAAACCUUAGCCUUCAACUCACGUCACCAGCAGCACUUGGAGAGAGCCACCAGUUGGAGAAGACAAGCAGACCAGGUAUUACUCCUUCCUUUCUCUCUCUCUCUCUCCUCUACUCUUCUUUUAUUUUCUCCUCUCACCUAAGCAACCUAUUAGCAGGUCCAGCACCAUACGAUCCAAGGGGUUUUUUUUUUUCUUCUUUUUAAUUUUUUUUCUCUCCUCCUCAUCUUCUUCUCUUCUUCUAUCGGUCCAUCUUCACUCCAGCA